CAGUAGCGCGGUAAUACGAAGGGGGCUAGCGUUGCUCGGAAUUACUGGGCGUAAAGGGAGCGUAGGCGGACAUUUAAGUCAGGGGUGAAAUCCCGGGGCUCAACCUCGGAAUUGCCUUUGAUACUGGGUGUCUUAAGUAUGAGAGAGGUAUGUGGAACUCCGAGUGUAGAGGUGAAAUUCGUAGAUAUUCGGAAGAACACCAGUGGCGAAGGCGACAUACUGGCUCAUUACUGACGCUGAGGCUCGAAAGCGUGGGGAGCAAACAGGAUUAGAUACCCGUGUAGUCCCUGUCUCUUAUACA
rnacentral:rRNA from 1 species